rnacentral:rRNA from 1 species
AUUGAACGCUGGCGGCAUGCCUUACACAUGCAAGUCGAACGGCAGCACGGGUGCUUGCACCUGGUGGCGAGUGGCGAACGGGUGAGUAAUACAUCGGAACGUACCUUAUCGUGGGGGAUAACGCAGCGAAAGCUGUGCUAAUACCGCAUACGCCCUGAGGGGGAAAGCGGGGGAUCGCAAGACCUCGCGCGAUUAGAGCGGCCGAUGCCUGAUUAGCUAGUUGGUGGGGUAAAAGCCCACCAAGGCGACGAUCAGUAGCUGGUCUGAGAGGACGAUCAGGCACACGGGGAGUGAGACACGACCCGGACUCCUACGUGAGGCAGCAGUGGGUAAUUUUGGACAAUGGGGGCAACCCUGAUCCAGCAAUGCCGCGUAAGUGAAGAAGGCCUUCGGGUUGUAAAGCUCUUUUGUCAGGGAAGAAACACCGGCUCUAACACAGUCCGGGAAUGACGGUACCUGAAGAAUAAGCACCGGCUAACUACGUGCCAGCAGCCGCGGUAA